rnacentral:rRNA from 1 species
AUUGAACGCUGGCGGCAUGCCUUACACAUGCAAGUCGAACGGUAACAGGUCUUCGGAUGCUGACGAGUGGCGAACGGGGGAGUAAUACAUCGGAACGUGCCCAGUCGUGGGGGAUAACGAAGCGAAAGCUUUGCUAAUACCGCAUACGAUCUACGGAUGAAAGCGGGGGAUCGCAAGACCUCGCGCGAUUGGAGCGGCCGAUGGCAGAUUAGGUAGUUGGUGGGGUAAAGGCUUACCAAGCCUACGAUCUGUAGCUGGUCUGAGAGGACGACCAGCCACACUGGGACUGAGACACGGCCCAGACUCCUACGGGAGGCAGCAGUGGGGAAUUUUGGACAAUGGGCGCAAGCCUGAUCCAGCAAUGCCGCGUGCAGGAUGAAGGCCUUCGGGUUGUAAACUGCUUUUGUACGGAACGAAAAGCUCUGGGUUAAUACCCUGGGGUCAUGACGGUACCGUAAGAAUAAGCACCGGCUAACUACGUGCCAGCAGCCGCCGCCG